UAACGCGUGGGAAUCUGCCCUCAGGUUCGGAAUAACCCGGCGAAAGCCGGGGUAAUACCGGAUGAUAUCGCGUAGCAAUACGGGAGAAAGAUUUAUCGCUCGAGGAGGGGCCCGCGUCGGAUUAGCUAGUUGGUGAGGUAACGGCUCACCAAGGCGAUGAUCCGUAGCUGGUCUGAGAGGAUGAUCAGCCACACUGGGACUGAGACACGGCCCAGACUCCUACGGGAGGCAGCAGUGGGGAAUAUUGGACAAUGGGCGAAAGCCUGAUCCAGCAAUGCCGCGUGAGUGAUGAAGGCCUUAGGGUUGU
rnacentral:rRNA from 1 species